rnacentral:rRNA from 1 species
GAUGAACGCUGGCGGCGUGCCUAAUACAUGCAAGUCGAGCGAACGGACGAGAAGCUUGCUUCUCUGAUGUUAGCGGCGGACGGGUGAGUAACACGUGGAUAACCUACCUAUAAGACUGGGAUAACUUCGGGAAACCGGAGCUAAUACCGGAUGAUAUUUUGAACCGCAUGGUUCAAAAGUGAAAGACGGUCUUGCUGUCACUUAUAGAUGGAUCCGCGCUGCAUUAGCUAGUUGGUAAGGUAACGGCUUACCAAGGCAACGAUGCAUAGCCGACCUGAGAGGGUGAUCGGCCACACUGGAACUGAGACACGGUCCAGACUCCUACGGGAGGCAGCAGUAGGGAAUCUUCCGCAAUGGGCGAAAACCUGACGGAGCAACGCCGCGUGAGUGAUGAAGGUCUUCGGAUCGUAAAACUCUGCUAUUAGGGAAGAACAUAUGUGUAAGUAACUGUGCACAUCUUGACGGUACCUAAUCAGAAAGCCACGGCUAACUACGUG